ensembl:lncRNA
AAAAGGUAGUAAAAAAAGGAAAUUUGCUUAAUACUGGUGUCUUUGGAUGGGGUAAGUUGCUAUGUGAGGUAAAAACCACACGUGGCUGUAAUUUGGUGGCCUGUAUACAGUUCCAAUCCAAGCAUGUAGUUGGUUUAAAUGGGUUUAAUACUGGUGUCUUUUGAUCACUUGACUGUAUAUAAACCUGUUGUACAAAAGGUGCAUUUUAAUUUCACUAUACCUGCCCAUCCUUGUAGCCGGUCUCUACUAGCGUGGCACAGUUUCAAGAUCAGUGUAGGGCUUCUCCACUGCCUUCACUGGACAGAACACAUCUGAG